AAUAUUUUCGCAAAUAUUUGUAUGUUUUUAGUAGUUUUUCUAACAUAAAAUAAAGUUGUUCAUUUCAUAACACAAUAUAUUUCCCCGAUUUUUUUUCAUAUAAGCCAUACCAUUCAUUUAUAAUUAUUAGUUUUGUAAUUAUUAUACAUAUUACAUAACCUCCACGUCCAUCAACUAGAGAAAAGAUACGAGUAUAAUGAAAACAUUUAACUUUUAAUAAGAAAUGGUCCUUCCCUCGUUGUGAUUGGCCUUCUACCAGUGACGUCAACACAAAAUUGGACGUUGCCACACUUCCAUAAAGACAUUUCAUAAACCCGACAAUGUUGAUUCCGGUAGCAGCAAUAGCAGUUUCAAGAAUAGACAUUUAGCUGUCUAGCGGGUUGAAACUUGCGGAUCAUUCUGCUACCAGAAUUAUUCCGGCAGCGUCAAGAAUAGGGCCCCAGAACAACAAAUGCAAGGGAGGCAUUGAGUUACAAUUUUAGAAAUAACCCUUGAAUAAAAGUAAUGAUAAAAAAAAAUCAACAUGGUGUGUGAGACCGAGCCUCAACACCCAAGAUUUGUUUGGACUUCAAGACAUGAAUUUUAGGCAGACUAUGUUGAAUCUAACCCGAUGUCAUGUAUAUAAACUCUAACUUUCUGCACUACUAAGUUUAACUACAGUAGAUAGCACCACGUUUCAUUUGUUGGCAUUGACAGAAACAAAGUCAGUCUUAGUCAUCAGAAGCACAUUUAAAGGGUGACAAUUCAUUACAAUAAAAAAAAAUCAAGUUAAAAAAUUCUAAUUAACUUCACAAAAAAAUGAAAACAUACCACCAACAAUUAAUCUUAAAAAAACAUCCAAAAUAUUAAAUGAAUACAAAGAAUAUUGAUAAAUGAGCUUGAUCGAUAGCUCAAUAUCAAACAUAAAUCUAUAGGUAAACAUUGAAGCUUUGCAGUGCAAGUACUAGUUGAAACGUGGUUUUGUAAUAACAAAGAAUAUUAUUUACGGUAGAAUGGGAACUAGAUAGGUAAUGUUAGGACGCAUCCAUUGUUACAAGGAAAACAAGUGAUUUUAAAUGGUUUGAUUUUUAAUUUAGCUAUAAUUUCAAUUUCAGGUUAUUUAUGAAAAUCAAGGUUGAAUAGAAUACGAAUAAUAAACUAUGUGUAUUCAUAUUUGAAUAUUGCAAAGGUCUAAUCAUAGCAAACAAGGGUCGAGUUUCCGUCGUAAACGCACCUUCACGUUCUGUGCGACCUUCUGCUGGUUGGUGGCACUGAGCAGGUUGAGAGGGAGCGAAGACUUGCUGGUCGCGGACCUCCACUUGGGGUCGGGCUUGCGCCGAGCCUCGGGCGCCGGCGGGGACGGCACGCUGGACUCCCCCGACGAGGUCUGGUCGUCGCUGGGGCUGGCCGCAUCCUCUCCGGCCGUGCAGCUGUUGACCGCCGGCAUGCCGGGGCUGAUGAGGAUCCCCUGGCUCGUCAGCACCUCCAGCUUGCGGUACAGCUGCUCCCGCUGCUGCACGAUGUCGCUCUGCUCCGCGCGCACUUGCUCCUGGGGACACCCGUCCACGAUCAUUUACACAGCUAGUGCUGGUUACAACUUUCAUAGCUAGAGAUGUGUUUUUUUGAACUUCCCCCAGGUAGGCAGCCCUGCAGAUUCUGGUGAAGAAGCACUUCGAACAUCAGUUCCCCUGCCGCAAUGCCCUAAGUUGCUCUGGUGCUUGGAGGCCUGCAACCCGUCGCACACCCAGCUGCUCACUAUCCCUCCAGUGCCUUGGGAAGAGGGGUGGACCGAGCUCACUCAAAGUGCGCCCGAUCAGUGCCGCAGCCCUUCAUCACCCCCCUCUGGCCAAGCUCUCAUAAAAGGAAGAAAUCGCCAGUGUUCCCGGGGCAGUGUGACCCACAGCACCAACUGUGCUCUCACUGCUUGCAACCGCGCCAUCUCAAGCCAGCCACCCACCGACGCCUCCGUCAUCACCACCGUGGACGCUGCCGCUGCAGAUGCCACGACGGUCGUGAGUUAGGGUUGGGGAGAACGUGCCGUCCCUUCCACGCAGACACCGGCAGCUGGUCGCCUCCCGGGAAGUUAGAACGCACCUGCAGCCUCUGCAGCUCCAGCUUCUUCUCCUCGAUGUACUUCUCCUCCAGGUCCUUCUCCCGCUGCCAGGUCUCCUUCUCCUGCGACAGGCGGUCCUGCAGGUUGCGCAGCUCCUCCAGCUGCUGGUUGUGGCGGUACGCGGGCCGGCGCUCCCGCCCGUCGUCGUGGCACAGCUGCGACCUGCAGGCCGACAGCUGGGCCUGCAGGCUGGAACACACGGUCCUCCUCACUUCUGCCGGGCUGCAAGCCUGCGCGCCGUCCGAAACACCCUCAACGCUCCUCAACAAUCCAGCCAACGUAUACUGUCCGAGCCAUGUAUUAUAACUACUGACGUCAGCCGGGGCUUCGCCCCACGAGCCUGAUCAUCCUCCGUUCCCUUUCCCACCACCUUUCCUACCCGGCAUUUGUGUCGUGACGUACGUAGCCGUGUGCGAUUCAAACUGCGCGCCACAAACUACAGCAAGAGGGCACUUAGCUGCAGUGCGCCGCACCCCUAAAUAUGUUAAUUAAUAUUGUAAUCCUUUUUCUUUCUGCCCCAAAACAGUGUAACGAUGGCUAUGCAUGUAUGUGUUUUUAAUUAAUAACUUCAUGAUCUUUUGUUAUUUUUAUAAGUCCAAGCACGAACAAGGACGCUCCCUAGCGGGCAACGGAGGAACUAGCAUGAAACUCAUUUGAACCCUGUUUUAUGUUUAUAAGCAAUUAUUACAGACGGUCUGGACAUGGAAGUAAUCUAAUAAUUAUUGUAAAAGGAUUUAUGUAUUUUAUAAUAGUAACUCGGGGCACGCUACAGCAAAAGUUGUAACGGUAAUUGUGUUCGGCGCGAAGGGGCGCCAUGUUGCCACCCGCAAGCCAUGAGCUCAUCCCAGUCUCCUUCUAAAGCCGGCCGAGAGCGGACGUCUCUGCAGACACCCCGAGGACAUUACCGUUGGUUCACCGAGUAGUAAUUCUGUAACUUAAUUUAUUCAAAUCGCUUUCUUUUCAUCCUCGGGGCCUCUCUCGGUCGGAGAGACUGCUUAAGUAAUAAUUAUUCACUCUUCAGAGUUUUUAUUUCACCGGUGUAUUAAGUAACGGCUUGAGGCGGCCACGUGCGUGGUUCGCCUCCUCACCUAAGCUGAUUCGUGCCUCGGGCGUUUUACAGUUUUAUCAGUGGAGGAUCGUGUAAGGACGUGUACCGUGAGUAGAAUAAAAGCCAAUUAACUGUG